AUCUACAGUCAUACCACCCUGAACAUACCCAGUCUCGUCUGAUCUCGGAAGCUAAGCAGGGUUGGGCCUGGUUAGUACUUGGAUGAGAGAGUCCAUCUCGCUGUGUUC
rnacentral:rRNA from 1 species